CAGUCACGUCUGAAAAUAUCGGUACGAAAAAUGUGCCAAAAAUAUGUAUACACUACCUUAAUAUAUGGGCAAUAAAGUCGUGUAUACAUAUUUUUGGCACAUUUUUCGUACCGAUAUUUUCAGACGUGACCAUACAUAUAAAACACCCAUGACUCAACCCAGGGAUUCGAACCCAGGACCAUCAGCUUCAGAGGCAGGGUCACUACCUAAGCCAGGUAACAAGAAAACAGGGUAAUAAUAAUGUAUUCACCACACAAGCUCAUAAACGCUAUCUUUUUACUUCAAAAAAGGAUAGAAAGUUUGAUUCACAAGAGUGAGAGUAUUGUGUUGUUUCCUCAUCCUGUCUGGUAAAAUUUAAUUUUAAGUAAUUAUUUUAAAUUAUAUUUAUUAAAUUACAUUAAUUU